rnacentral:rRNA from 1 species
GACGAACGCUGGCGGCGUGCUUAACACAUGCAAGUCGAACGGAAAGGCCCUGCUUUUGUGGGGUGCUCGAGUGGCGAACGGGUGAGUAACACGUGAGUAACCUGCCCUUGACUUUGGGAUAACUUCAGGAAACUGGGGCUAAUACCGGAUAGGAGCUCCUGCUGCAUGGUGGGGGUUGGAAAGUUUCGGCGGUUGGGGAUGGACUCGCGGCUUAUCAGCUUGUUGGUGGGGUAGUGGCUUACCAAGGCUUUGACGGGUAGCCGGCCUGAGAGGGUGACCGGCCACAAUGGGACUGAGGUACCGCCCAGACUCCUACGGGAGGCAGCAGUGGGGAAUAUUGCACAAUGGGCGGAAGCCUGAUGCAGCAACGCCGCGUGCGGGAUGACGGCCUUCGGGUUGUAAACCGCUUUCGCCUGUGACGAAGCGUGAGUGACGGUAAUGGGUAAAGAAGCACCGGCUAACUACGUG